rnacentral:misc_RNA from 1 species
CUCCCCGGGAACCUGGUGCCCUCCUCCCCGGGAACCUGGUGCCCUCCUCCCCGGGAACCUGGUGCCCUCCUCCCCGGGAACCUGGUGCCCUCCUCCCCCUUACUCCAAUCCCAAUGCAUGGAUAGAGGCUUAACGGUGUUUGUGGCAGUUCAUGUCCCGGAUGUGUUACUAAAUGGGUGGCGCUGGAGGCUUGGGGCGAUACCACCACUCGUUUGUGUGUUGGCGAUUAGUGUUGUCCCCCCGAGUGGCCAGCGUGGCCCCGUACCAUUCAGGACACGAGUUGCAACGGGCGCGCACUGAAGCUAGCGUGCCCUCCCGAGGAGUGUCAGUAAAAUAAAAUACAAAAACACAAUCACGGUUGCACCAAGCACAACAUCAAACACAUACAAUGCUGAAGAGCAGGCGUAUCGAGGGCAUACCCGUGGCUCAUAACACAGUCACAGUUCAGAAGGCCGGCACGCGGUGUCAACCAGGCCACCAUUCCUCUCCGCAUUAAAGCACUCGGUGGGGGAGGGUGCCCUGGUUGACACAAUGUGCCGCGCAUCAACCAGCGCGACGGAAGUUGGCCUCCAGCAAAGCACAUUUUGCACGCAAAUGGUGUCCGCUCUCCCAAACCACACGAAUGGCACCAUGGCAAAAAACACUCCCCCACAAUGUAUUGACCUUGUUUGUUAAUGAAAGUGUGGCACUGACUUCGGCAGACGCCAAGUGGUGGAUAUAGAACCACCUUUCAUGGCAGUACAUUGCAGCAUGUGCCACAUGUUCAAAAGCAAUAAACAGAUUAAAAGAA